GAACGCUGGCGGAAUGCUUUACACAUGCAAGUCGAACGGUAGAGGGGGCAACCCCUCGAGAGUGGCGAACGGGUGAGUAAUAUAUCGGAACGUACCUUAUCGUGGGGGAUAACGCAGCGAAAGCUGCGCUAAUACCGCAUACGCCCUACGGGGGGAAAGCAGGGGACCUUCGGGCCUUGCGCGAUUGAAUAUGCCCAGGUGGGAUUAGCUAGUUGGUGAGGUAAUGGCUCACCAAGGCGACGAUCCCUAGCUGGUCUGAGAGGAUGAUCAGCCACACUGGAACUGAGACACGGUCCAGACUCCUACGGGAGGCAGCAGUGGGGAAUAUUGCACAAUGGGGGAAACCCUGAUGCAGCCAUGCCGCGUGUGUGAAGAAGGCCUUCGGGUUGUAAAGCACUUUCAGCGAGGAGGAAAGGUCAGUAGCUAAUACCUGCUGGCUGUGACGUUACUCGCAGAAGAAGCACCGGCUAACUCCGUG
rnacentral:rRNA from 1 species